rnacentral:rRNA from 1 species
UGGGGAAUCUUCCGCAAUGGACGAAAGUCUGACGGAGCAACGCCGCGUGAGUGAUGACGGCCUUCGGGUUGUAAAGCUCUGUUAAUCGGGACGAAAGGCCUUCUUGCGAAUAGUUAGAAGGAUUGACGGUACCGGAAUAGAAAGCCACGGCUAACUACGUGCCAGCAGCCGCGGUAAUACGUAGGUGGCAAGCGUUGUCCGGAAUUAUUGGGCGUAAAGCGCGCGCAGGCGGAUUGGUCAGUCUGUCUUAAAAGUUCGGGGCUUAACCCCGUGAUGGGAUGGAAACUGCCAAUCUAGAGUAUCGGAGAGGAAAGUGGAAUUCCUAGUGUAGCGGUGAAAUGCGUAGAUAUUAGGAAGAACACCAGUGGCGAAGGCGACUCUCUGGACGAAAACUGACGCUGAGGCGCGAAAGCCAGGGGAGCGAACGGGAUUAGAUACCCCGGUAGUCCUGGCCGUAAACGAUGGGUACUAGGUGUAGGAGGUAUCGACCCCUUCUGUGCCGGAGUUAACGCAAUAAGUACCCCGCCUGGGGAGUACGACCGCAAGGUUG